rnacentral:tRNA from 6 species
GGCGAUGUAGCUCAGUUGGUUAGAGCGAACGACUCAUAAUCGUUAGGUCGCCGGUUCAAGUCCGGCCAUCGCUACUA